rnacentral:lncRNA from 1 species
UUCGGAUAACACUUUAUGAGGUUGGCCUCGGCUUCCUGAUGAAAUCGACCUCAGCCUCCUGAUAAAAUCGACCUCGGCCUCCUGAUGAAAUCGACCUUCGAAUGACUUCUGAUGAGGUCGGUCUCGGCCUUCUGAUGAAGUCAGCUUUGGAUGAUUUCUGAUGAGGUCGGCCUUAGCCUUUUGAUGAAGUCGGUCUCGAUCUCCGGAUGAAGUCGGCUUUCGGAUGACAUCUGAUGAGGUCGGCCUCUUGAUGUAGUCCGCCUUGGCCUCCC